rnacentral:rRNA from 1 species
AACGGAUAUCUCGGCUCUCGCAUCGAUGAAGAACGUAGCGAAAUGCGAUACCUGGUGUGAAUUGCAGAAUCCCGCGAACCAUCGAGUCUUUGAACGCAAGUUGCGCCCGAGGCCAUCCGGCCGAGGGCACGCCUGCCUGGGCGUCACGCCAAAAGACGCUCCGCG